AUCAUGAUGGUCGAGUUGGAAAGGAACAACACCACCACCCCCCUCACCACCCAACCUGCUUCUUCUUCCUUGAAGCCAGAGGAAGCCACCAAUAAUAACGGUGGCUUGGAUGAGGAACAGAGGAUUGCCCUGCAGAUGAUAGAAGAGCUUCUUAUCUAAAUAUUAAAUUUUUGACUUUGAGGGCUAACAGGAUCACUUAACACCUCUGAUUCUAAUUUAGAAAUGUCAGGAGACAAAGGAUUAUCAAUUUCAACAGAAUGUUGAGCUAGUUCAGUUAGAAAAUGUUGAUCAUUCUGUGGUAUUAUGCUAACUGAACAUGAACCUGAACCUUGCAAGAUGACCUUUUUGAUUUAAUCUUAGGCAGAUCAUCUGUUGUAAGAGAGCUCUCUUAGCAACAGAUUCUUCUUGCUGAGCAAGCCAUAAACGGGAUCUAGUGUUAUUUCCAAGUUGAGGUAUCAACAUAACAAGUAGUCAUUGAAUAAGAAAGCAUAACAUAUCACAAACUACCUAUACACUUUGACUCUCUUUCUACUACCAUCAUCAUCAUUCUUCAGUUUAUUUAUAUAUGGCAUUGACAGGUAGCUACCCCCACUCAUUCAGCAACAACCAGCAUUUGAUUUUAUUUCCAUAUGAUCUUUAUCAAAAUACAAGAAGAAACCUGAUAUAAGACACACGCCACUAAAAGUUAUAGACUGCAUAUAAAAACGAAGUUGCAAGUUUAAUAUACUGCUUUUGAGGCUUACACGAUAGGCUUUCGGCAUCAUCAUCAACCUCUGCAGUAGCAGGCUUUUGAUCUUUCCUCUUAAAUACCACUUUUUCAUAAUUUUUAAACAAUUCAUCAUACAUCUCAUCUAUAUCUUCACCUACAUCCGGCAAAAUUUGUCUUUCAUGUUACCUGCAUCAUCAUUCAUUCAUUUGCAAGGCACAAAAAUUUACAAAUUCUCCGAUUUAGACAUAGAACAAAAUCUAAAAAGUGAAUGAGAGAAGGAUUUUCUUAAGAAAUUAAAGUGGCCAUUAAAUUAGUGUUGAUUUAACUAAAGUUACAACCCCCUCAUAUUUUAGAGUCAUCAGCAACUAGUAAUUACAAAACAGAGCCAUCAGUAAAUUUGAACAAAAAUUUCAAAGCCAUCAGCAACUAACAAGUACAAAACAGAGCCAUCAAAAGAGCAGCAUAACAAAAUCACUAAUCACAAAUCACUUGUCACAAAUUCCAAAUUCAAAACACUCAAUGCCAUAACAAAACAGCAGCUUAACAAGUCACUAGUCAGUAAUCACAAAUUCGAAACUCAAAUCAACAGCAUUACAAGAGACCCAAGAAAUCACAAAUCACAAAUUCAACCUCAAAUCCUUGAAACAGAGUAACAGAUUCAACUUUCCACUAACCUCAAAUCAGUAAAUCACAGUUUCACUAACCUUCCACUGACAGCGGAAGACGACGGCGGGACGACAGCGACAACACGGCGCACCAGCUGAAGGCCUCGAGCAGCGAUUUCACCUGUGAAUGGAAGACGUGCCGAGCUAGAAAGGGGAGACGCCGUGGAGAAGGAGAAGGAAGAGGCCGCGGAGACGCCGACACAGACGAACGGCGGCGGCGGUUCCGUCCAAGAAGCUGGAUUUUUGGGUUGGGAAGGAGCUAGGGCUUGCUCUUGCUGUGUGUUCUGUGUUGUCUUUCAAAUGAGGGUGUGUUUUGG
rnacentral:lncRNA from 1 species